AAGAAAAAUACAGAAAGAAAAAAAUUGAGAUUUCCGUUGGAUAGAGAAAGGAACCGUGUCUUUGUAACCAGAGGUCAAACUCUCCCAAAACGACACCCACCACCGCAACCAAACGACACCGUUUCAAUCUCCGGCGAACUCCACCGCCGCUUCCGCCUCCUUGCUUCUCGUAUGCUGAUUCCCGAUCGCCCUCCUCCGUGGUCUAGUCCUCCUGUCACGGCCGGGUAAUCCAGCCCCGUUCUCUCUUUUGCUUCUGAUUUUAUUAUGAAGAGCUACGCUAAGGUUAACAGCAACAACAGCAGCAGCAACAACAAGAGCGCCAACGGAUUUCUCCCGAAUUCUUUGAAAUUCAUUUCGUCCUGUAUUAAGACUGCUUCUUCCGGUGUUCGCUCCGCCAGUGCUUCCGUCGCUGCCUCUAUCUCUGGCGACGCCCCCGAUCACAAGGACCAGGUAUUAUGGGCUGGAUUUGACAGACUUGAGCUCAGUCCGUCCUUCUUCAAACGUGUGCUUUUAGUUGGUUAUACGAAUGGCUUUCAAGUUCUUGAUGUUGAAGAUGCUCCCAGUGUCAGUGAACUGGUUUCAAGACGGGAUGAUCCAGUCACAUUCUUGCAGAUGCAGCCUCUUCCUGCGAAGUCUGAUGUUAAGGAAGGCUUUGGAGAAUCACAUCCAAUACUUUUGGUGGUUGCAUGUGAUGAGGCCCAGAAUUCAGGUUUGGUUCAAAGUGGCACAAAUGGGUUGGUGAGAGAUGGAUAUCCUAACGGUCAUUCAGAUAACAAUAUCCUCUCCCCAAUGGCUGUUAGGUUUUACUCGUUAAAAACUCGGAAUUAUGUUCAUGUUCUGAGAUUUCGCUCAACCGUAUACAUGAUUAGAUGCAGUCCUGAAAUUGUGGCUGUUGGUCUUGCAUCGCAAAUUUAUUGCUUCGAUGCUCUCACCCUCGAGAGUAAAUUUAGCGUUCUCACGUAUCCAGUCCCUCAAUUGGGAGGCCAAGGAACAUCUGGGGUUAAUAUUGGCUAUGGACCUAUGGCCGUGGGUCCUAGAUGGUUGGCUUAUGCUUCCAACAAUCCUUUGCAGUCAAAUACUGGACGUUUAAGCCCACAGAGUCUUACACCUCCUGCUGUAAGCCCAUCAACGUCACCUAGCAGCGGGAGUUUAGUGGCUCGAUAUGCCAUGGAAUCUAGUAAGCAUUUGGCUGCUGGGCUAAUUAAUUUGGGUGAUAUGGGUUAUAAAACAUUGUCUAAAUACUAUCAAGAAUUUGUACCUGAUGGUUCUAACUCUCCACUCUCAUCAAAUUCGAGUCGGAAAGUUGGUCGGCUGGCAUUGCAUUCUACAGAAACAGAUGCUGCUGGAAUGGUUGUUUUGAAAGAUUUUAUCUCCAAAGCUGUUAUAUCACAAUUUAAGGCUCACUCUAGUCCGAUUUCUGCUCUUUGUUUUGAUCCAAGUGGGACCCUUCUAGUCACUGCCUCAACCCAUGGUAGCAAUAUUAACAUUUUUAGGAUUAUGCCAUCCUGCAUACAAAAUGGAUCGGGCACCCAAAGCUACGAUUGGAGCUCCUCUCAUGUGCACCUUUAUAAGCUUCAUCGUGGCAUGACAUCAGCUGUAAUACAAGACAUUUGUUUUAGCCACUAUAGUCAAUGGAUAGCUAUUGUUUCAUCUCGGGGAACUUGCCACAUUUUUGCUCUUUCACCCUUUGGAGGGGAAACGGUUCUUCAAAUGCACAAUUCUUUUGUUGAUGGGCCUAAUCUUAUACCUGCUUCAUGUGUCCCUUGGUGGUCAACUUCAUCUUUCAUCUCAAACCAGCAAUCCUUUUCUCCUCCACCUCCUCCUCCUGUCACUCUUUCUGUUGUUAGCAGAAUAAAAAAUUGUAACUCAGGUUGGCUUAAUACUGUCAGUAUGGUUACUGCUUCUUCAUCGGGAAAGGUUUCCAUCCCAUCAGGUGCUAUUUCUGCUGUUUUCCAUAGUUGUAUACCUAAGAAUCCGCAAUCCUCUCAAUUAAGUUCAAAUACUUUGGAACAUCUUUUGGUGUAUACUCCUUCCGGCCAUGUGAUUCAACAUAAACUGCUUCCAUCAAUGGGGGGAGAAUGUGGUGAAACUGUUUUGAGAAGUCCAAAUGCUACAAUGCUGAUGAAAGAUGAGGAACUGCGAGUAAGAGUUGAACCUAUUCAAUGGUGGGAUGUUUGCCGAAGAGCUGCUUGGCCAGAGAGGGAGGAAUGCAUAUCUUCAGUUAUUCUCAGGAGAAAAGAAACUGUCGAACCUGUUGAGGAUACUUCCUAUUUACAGGAGAAUCAUCUUGAAAACCAGGAGUUGGUAAAGCCACAUGACCGUUCUCUCUUGUACCUAUCCAAUUCUGAGGUGCAGAUAAACUCUGGGAGAGUACCUGUCUGGCAGAAAUCCAUGGUACAUUUCUAUACCAUGGGUUUUCCCGGGUCUAAUGAGGAAAGUAGCAUGAAAGAUAAUAUGAAUGGGGAAAUUGAGAUAGAGAAAGUACCUAUUCAUGAGGUUGAAAUAAAGCGGAAGGAUUUGCUUCCAGUUUUUGACCAUUUUCGUGGGAUACAGUCUGAUUGGCUUGAUAGGAGCCAUGCUGGUGCAAAAAGCUCUAGCCCAAGUUUAGAUUCUCAUAGUGAUGGAAUAAAGUAUUCAAAAGGUGAUAUCGGUUCAGAUUUAAAGUUGGACUCACGUGGCUUGGAAGAAAAUUCAGAUGGUAUAUCUAAUCCACCCAUUGCCAAAUCCGUGGGUGACAUUAAGAUGAAUGAAAAGGAUGGAUCUGUUUUGGCCUCACCAGUAAUGAAAGAGAACUCUUUCCAGGAGCAGGCUUCGGUAUCUUCUAAACAAUCGAGCACUGGACUUUCCCCAGGCGAAGGCAGCGAUUUUACUAACAGCCCAUCAACUGCAACAAGUUGCUCACUCUCCACUGAUAGAACUAUUUUUAAAGCAGUUCAGUCAUCAAAAUGUGGAGGGGCCAGUGAGGGCUCAAAUGCAAGUUCCAACCGAUCUGACUUGAGUAUGAACAUUCUUGAUGAGGGACCGAUGGGCGACUCAUUUGAUUAUGAACCAUUCUUUCAAGAGGAGUAUUGUAAAGCGACAGGUCUUAGUAACUGCCGUGACCCAGCAGAAGCUCUAACUGACGACGUUGACAGUAGUGGUAGUCCUCAUUACAGGGAGAAAUGUGAGGAAGAUGGGGACACUGAUGACAUGCUUGGUGGCGUAUUUUCUUUCUCUGAGGAAGUACCAAUGAAUUAAAUCGACCGAAUUUAACACGCAUGCACACACGAAACCUGUAGGGUCACAGUAUUAAAGGAUAGGUGCUCUCCUUGGCAUGGUCAUAAUUUAGCGCAAUACUCAGACCGUUGGAUUUACAGCGCCUCAGAGAACAGUCUGGAGGUCGUGUUGGUGGUCGUGGUCGUGAUAAAGUGUGGUAUCCUAAUUGAUAAAAGUUGAGAUUGUUGGCUUUCAACAAACUACAAUUCUACUGACAGAUAAGUGAAAUGUUAUUGAUGGGGUAGCAGAGGUGGGACUGAUACCUGGUUUCCUCAUAUUCCUCCCUUUUGAUUCUAUGUGUACAUACUGUAAAUUGAAAAUUCAUAGUUCAAAUGAUUUGUGGUCAGGUUCUUACCAA